AAUAUGUCGUCCGACUAUAUAUUACAGACUCACUGAUGUUGUACACUGUGUACUUACCGAAUGACCUAUAUCAUAAGCAUUAUGAACGAUCGAUACUCACAUCCAAAACCUCUAAACAGCAUGAUUACAACAUAAACCCAUAUACCAAAUAAGGCCAUAAAUUCUCCCAUAGAUUUAUCCCGACACAGUAAGAGCAAUACACAAACCUCCCUCCAUUCAUAUUUUAAGAAUUGAUAAAAAAAAACAGAACUCAAAAAACGGCCC
rnacentral:lncRNA from 1 species